rnacentral:lncRNA from 1 species
AGAGAUGGAAGUUGGAAGAUGUUACUAUGAGGAGUUUAGCAUCAUGACUUUGGGUCAACGGUAUUCCCCAGUAGUGCGAUAUUGGAGGAGGAUUUCUGUCGGGCGGAGAUGGAAAUGAAAAUCAAAGAAGUUUUGGGGUCCAAGAAAAAGAAAAAAAAUCAAAAUCAAAAAAAGUUUUGGGGUUCAAGAAAAGCAAAAAAAAAAGGAUAAUAAUUCCCAGCGGAGCGCAAAUUGUUCGUC